GGGCAGCAAGAGGGCUUCUAGAGAAAGGUAUAUGCUGGAGAGUUGGAAAAGGGAACCAUAUUUCCAUCUGGGAUGAUUUUUGGAUAUCAGGGGAUGAAGCAGACAGAUUACAAAACCAAGAAAGUAAUAAAAAUAUCAGGUUAGUUUCGGAUCUAAUAGAGUCCACUACUAGAACUUGGAAAACAAAUGUUAUUAUGAAUACCUUUAGUAUGGAUAUUGUAAGGAAAAUCAUGCAGAUUCCAUUGGCAAAAACAGAAUACGAAGACUUUCAAGUAUGGCGAGGUGAACUGUCCGGUGAGUUCUAAGUCAGAAGCGCCUAUAAACUAUUACAGGAGUCUAACAUGGAUCCUAAUAAUUACUUUAUACAAACCGAAAUAAAAAAUUUCUAUAAGAAGCUAUGGAAAUUAUACAUCCCCUCAAAAGUUACAUUGACAGUUUGGAGAAUCUCUUGGAAUUUUAUUCCUUCCCUUGUUAACCUCAAGCAAAAGAAAGUGGUGGUGGACACACAAUGCCCUCGAUGUCAUCAAGAUGAAGAGAACAGUAACCACGUUUUUCGCCAGUGUCCUACAACUGUUGAGACUUGGAAUCACUUAAAUCUGUCUUGGGUACUGAAUAAUGAUACUCAGACUACGUGGGAGUGGUUUACUUGGGUCUUUGAACAGGGGACUAGUGAACAGAUCAGAUUUUUCUAUUGUGGACUCUGGUUAAUCUGGUUCAACAGGAAUAGGUUAGUAUAUGAAAAGAGAACAGCGACAGGAAGAGACAUAGCAAAACAGAUCCAAAGUUUCAUCUUAGAGUUCAAUGGGACAAAAGAGAAAAAACUCACAUACUAGUCCAAUAGAAGCUUUCACAGCAUGUUU
rnacentral:lncRNA from 1 species